GGAUAACCUACCCUUAGGACCGGGAUAACCCUGGGAAACUGGGGAUAAUACUGGAUAGGCAAUUUUUCCUGUAAUGGUUUCUUGUUUAAAUGUUUUUUCGCCUAAGGAUGGGUCUGCGGCCGAUUAGGUAGUUGGUUAGGUAAUGGCUUACCAAGCCGUUGAUCGGUACGGGUUGUGAGAGCAAGAGCCCGGAGAUGGAACCUGAGACAAGGUUCCAGGCCCUACGGGGCGCAGCAGGCGCGAAACCUCCGCAAUGUGAGAAAUCGCGACGGGGGGAUCCCAAGUGCCAUUCUUAACGGGAUGGCUUUUCAUUAGUGUAAAGGGCUUUUGGAAUAAGGGCUGGGCAAGACCGGUGCCAGCCGCCGCGGUAACACCGGCAGCUCUAGUGGUAGCAGUUUUUAUUGGGCCUAAAGCGUCCGUAGCCGGUUUAAUAAGUCUCUGGUGAAAUCCUGUAGCUUAACUGUGGGAAUUGCUGGAGAUACUAUUAGACUUGAGAUCGGGAGAGGUUAGAGGUACUCCCAGGGUAGAGGUGAAAUUCUGUAAUCCUGGGAGGACCGCCUGUUGCGAAGGCGUCUAACUGGAACGAUUCUGACGGUGAGGGACGAAAGUUAGGGGCGCGAACCGGAUUAGAUACCCGGGUAGUCCUAACUGUAAACGAUGCGGACUUGGUGUUGGGGUGGCUUUGAGCUGCUCCAGUGCCGAAGGGAAGCUGUUAAGUCCGCCGCCUGGGAAGUACGGUCGCAAGACUGAAACUUAA
rnacentral:rRNA from 1 species